AACGCUAGCUACAGGCUUAACACAUGCAAGUCGAGGGGAAACGAUAUUGGAAGCUUGCUUCCGAUAGGCGUCGACCGGCGCACGGGUGAGUAACGCGUAUCCAACCUGCCCAUCACUUGGGGAUAACCUUGCGAAAGUAAGACUAAUACCCUAUGAUUUCCUUUGAUGACAUCAGAUUAGGAAUAAAGAUUUAUCGGUUAUAGAUGGGGAUGCGUCUGAUUAGCUUGUUGGCGGGGUAACGGCCCACCAAGGCAACGAUCAGUAGGGGUUCUGAGAGGAAGGUCCCCCACAUUGGAACUGAGACACGGUCCAAACUCCUACGGGAGGCAGCAGUGAGGAAUAUUGGUCAAUGGGCGAUGGCCUGAACCAGUCAAGUAGCGUGAAGGAUGACUGCCCUAUGGGUUGUAAACUUCUUUUAUAAAGGAAUAAAGUCGGGUAUGCAUACCCGUUUGCAUGUACUUUAUGAAUAAGGAUCGGCUAACUCCGUGCCAGCAGCCGCGGUAAUACGGAGGAUCCGAGCGUUAUCCGGAUUUAUUGGGUUUAAAGGGAGCGUAGAUGGAUGUUUAAGUCAGUUGUGAAAGUUUGCGGCUCAACCGUAAAAUUGCAGUUGAUACUGGAUGUCUUGAGUGCAGUUGAGGCAGGCGGAAUUCGUGGUGUAGCGGUGAAAUGCUUAGAUAUCACGAAGAACUCCGAUUG
rnacentral:rRNA from 1 species